GACGAACGCUGGCGGCGUGCCUAAUACACGCAAGUUGAGCGAUGAAGAUUGGUGCUUGCACCAAUUUGAAGAGCAGCGAACGGGUGAGUAACGCGUGGGGAAUCUGCCUUUGAGCGGGGGACAACAUUUGGAAACGAAUGCUAAUACCGCAUAACAACUUUAAACAUAAGUUUUAAGUUUGAAAGAUGCAAUUGCAUCACUCAAAGAUGAUCCCGCGUUGUAUUAGCUAGUUGGUGAGGUAAAGGCUCACCAAGGCGAUGAUACAUAGCCGACCUGAGAGGGUGAUCGGCCACAUUGGGACUGGGACACGGCCCAAACUCCUACGGGAGGCAGCAGUAGGGAAUCUUCGGCAAUGGACGAAAGUCUGACCGAGCAACGCCGCGUGAGUGAAGAAGGUUUUCGGAUCGUAAAACUCUGUUGGUAGAGAAGAACGUUGGUGAGAGUGGAAAGCUCAUCAAGUGACGGUAACUACCCAGAAAGGGACGGCUAACUACGUG
rnacentral:rRNA from 1 species